UACAGAGGUCUCAAGCGUUGUUCGGAUUCAUUGGGCGUAAAGGGUGCGUAGGCGGCCGCGCAAGUCGAGUGUGAAAGCCCCGGGCUUAACUUGGGAAUUGCGCUCGAAACUACGUGGCUGGAGUGUGGCAGAGGAAGGUGGAAUUCCACGUGUAGCGGUGAAAUGCGUAGAGAUGUGGAGGAACACCAAUGGCGAAGGCAGCCUUCUGGGCCAACACUGACGCUCAUGCACGAAAGCGUGGGGAGCAAACAGG
rnacentral:rRNA from 1 species